AGUGAACGCCGGCGGUAGGCCUAACACAUGCAAGUCGAACGGCAGCACAGAGGAGCUUGCUCCUUGGGUGGCGAGUGGCGGACGGGUGAGGAAUACAUCGGAAUCUACUCUGUCGUGGGGGAUAACGUAGGGAAACUUACGCUAAUACCGCAUACGACCUACGGGUGAAAGCAGGGGAUCUUCGGACCUUGCGCGAUUGAAUGAGCCGAUGUCGGAUUAGCUAGUUGGCGGGGUAAAGGCCCACCAAGGCGACGAUCCGUAGCUGGUCUGAGAGGAUGAUCAGCCACACUGGAACUGAGACACGGUCCAGACUCCUACGGGAGGCAGCAGUGGGGAAUAUUGGACAAUGGGCGCAAGCCUGAUCCAGCCAUACCGCGUGGGUGAAGAAGGCCUUCGGGUUGUAAAGCCCUUUUGUUGGGAAAGAAAUCCAGCCGGCUAAUACCUGGUUGGGAUGACGGUACCCAAAGAAUAAGCACCGGCUAACUUCGUGCCAGCAGCCGCGGUAAUACGAAGGGUGCAAGCGUUACUCGGAAUUACUGGGCGUAAAGCGUACGUAGGUGGUUAUUUAAGUCCGUUGUGAAAGCCCUGGGCUCAACCUGGGAACUGCAGUGGAUACUGGAUGACUAGAAUGUGGUAGAGGGUAGCGGAAUUCCUGGUGUAGCAGUGAAAUGCGUAGAGAUCAGGAGGAACAUCCAUGGCGAAGGCAGCUACCUGGACCAACAUUGACACUGAGGCACGAAAGCGUGGGGAGCAAACAGG
rnacentral:rRNA from 1 species